UACGUAGGGUGCAAGCGUUAAUCGGAAUUACUGGGCGUAAAGCGUGCGCAGGCGGUGAUGUAAGACAGAUCGUGAAAUCCCCGGGCGUCAACCUGGGAACUGCAUUUGUGACUGCAUCGCUGGAGUACGGCAGAGGGGGGAUGGAAUUCCGCGUGUAGCAGUGAAAUGCGUAGAUAUGCGGAGGAACACCGAUGGCGAAGGCAAUCCCCUGGGCCUGUACUGACGCUCAUGCACGAAAGCGUGGGGAGCAAACAGG
rnacentral:rRNA from 1 species